rnacentral:rRNA from 1 species
GACGAACGCUGGCGGCGUGCUUAACACAUGCAAGUCGAACGGAGUGGCGAACGGGUGAGUAACACGUGGGUGACCUACCUUGCACUUCGGGAUAAGCCUGGGUAACUGGGUCCAAUACCGGCCAGUGUGGGAUGGGGGCGCGGCCUAUCAGCUUGUUGGUGGGGUAAUGGCCUACCAAGGCGGCGACGGGUAGCCGGCCUGAGAGGGUGGCCGGCCACAUUGGGACUGGGGCACGGGCCAGAGGCAAACGGGAGGAAGCGGUGGGGAAGAGUGCACAAUGGGCGGAAGCAUGAUGCAGCGACGCCGGGUGGGGGAUGUCGGCCUUCGGGUUGUAAACGCCUUUCACCGUAGACGCGGUAUCUGACCAGGAAGCAACGGCUAACUACGUGCCAGCAGCCGCGGUAAUUC